UCUUGCAUUUUUCACCCUAUAGCCCAAGACUGGUUGCCCACUGAAGCUAAGCAGGGUUGAGCCUGGUCAGUACAUGGAUGUAAAACCUCCUGGGAAAACUAGGUUGCUGCUGGAA
rnacentral:rRNA from 1 species